rnacentral:rRNA from 1 species
UUCCUGAUGUUAGCGGCGGACGGGGUGAGUAACACGUGGGUAACCUGCCUGUAWGACUGGGAUAACUCCGGGAAACCGGGGCUAAUACCGGAUGGUUGUUUGAACCGCAUGGUUCAAACAUAAAAGGUGGCUUCGGCUACCACUUACAGAUGGACCCGCGGCGCAUUAGCUAGUUGGUGAGGUAAYGGCUCACCAAGGCAACGAUGCGUAGCCGACCUGAGAGGGUGAUCGGCCACACUGGGACUGAGACACGGCCCAGACUCCUACGGGAGGCAGCAGUAGGGAAUCUUCCGCAAUGGACGAAAGUCUGACGGAGCAACGCCGCGUGAGUGAUGAAGGUUUUCGGAUCGUAAAGCUCUGUUGUUAGGGAAGAACAAGUACCGUUCGAAUAGGGCGGUACCUUGACGGUACCUAACCAGAAAGCCACGGCUAACUACGUGCCAGCAGCCGCGGUAAUACGUAGGUGGCAAGCGUUGUCCGGAAUUAUUGGGCGUAAAGGGCUCGCAGGCGGUUUCUUAAGUCUGAUGUGAAAGCCCCCGGCUCAACCGGGGAGGGUCAUUGGAAACUGGGGAACUUGAGUGCAGAAGAGGAGAGUGGAAUUCCACGUGUAGCGGUGAAAUGCGUAGAGAUGUGGAGGAACACCAGUGGCGAAGGCGACUCUCUGGUCUGUAACUGACGCUGAGGAGCGAAAGCGUGGGGAGCGAACAGGAUUAGAUACCCUGGUAGUCCACGCCGUAAACGAUGAGUGCUAAGUGUUAGGGGGUUUCCGCCCCUUAGUGCUGCAGCUAACGCAUUAAGCACUCCGCCUGGGGAGUACGGUCGCAAGACUGAAACUCAAAGGAAUUGACGGGGGCCCGCACAAGCGGUGGAGCAUGUGGUUUAAUUCGAAGCAACGCGAAGAACCUUACCAGGUCUUGACAUCCUCUGACAAUCCUAGAGAUAGGACGUCCCCUUCGGGGGCAGAGUGACAGGUGGUGCAUGGUUGUCGUCAGCUCGUGUCGUGAGAUGUUGGGUUAAGUCCCGCAACGAGCGCAACCCUUGAUCUUAGUUGCCAGCAUUCAGUUGGGCACUCUAAGGUGACUGCCGGUGACAAACCGGAGGAAGGUGGGGAUGACGUCAAAUCAUCAUGCCCCUUAUGACCUGGGCUACACACGUGCUACAAUGGACAGAACAAAGGGCAGCGAAACCGCGAGGUUAAGCCAAUCCCACAAAUCUGUUSUCAGUUCGGAUCGCAGUCUGCAACUCGACUGCGUGAAGCUGGAAUCGCUAGUAAUCGCGGAUCAGC